rnacentral:misc_RNA from 1 species
GAUGAAGAACGUAGCGAAAUGCGCUAAGUAAUGUGAAUUGCAGAAUUCAGUGAAUCAUCGAAUCUUUGAACGCACAUUGCGCCCGCCAGUAUUCUGGCGGGCAUGCCUGUCCGAGCGUCAUUUCAACCCUCGAACCCCUCCGGGGGGUCGGCGUUGGGGACCUCGGGAGCCCCUAAGACGGGAUCCCGGCCCCGAAAUACAGUGGCGGUCUCGCCGCAGCCUCUCCUGCGCAGUAGUUUGCACAACUCGCACCGGGAGCGCGGCGCGUCCACGUCCGUAAAACACCCAACUUCUGAAAUGUUGACCUCGGAUCAGGUAGGAAUACCCGCUGAACUUAAGCAUAUCAAUAAGCGGAGGA